AGAGCGAACGUUAGCGGCAGGCCUAACACAUGCAAGUCGCACGAGAAUUCGGCUUCGGCCGAUAGUAAAGUGGCGGACGGGUGAGUAACACGUGGAUAAUCUGCCCUUCGGCGGGGGACAACAGUCCGAAAGGAUUGCUAAUACCGCGUACGUCUGCGACGCCUUCGGGUGUUGCAGGGAAAGACGGCCUCUUCAUGAAAGCUGUCGCCGGAGGAUGAGUCCGCGGCCCAUCAGCUAGUUGGCGGGGUAAUGGCCCACCAAGGCGAUGAUCGGUA
rnacentral:rRNA from 1 species